rnacentral:rRNA from 1 species
AGUGAACGCUGGCGGUAGGCCUAACACAUGCAAGUCGAACGGCAGCACAGUAAGAGCUUGCUCUUACGGGUGGCGAGUGGCGGACGGGUGAGGAAUACAUCGGAAUCUACUUUUUCGUGGGGGAUAACGUAGGGAAACUUACGCUAAUACCGCAUACGACCUACGGGUGAAAGCAGGGGAUCUUCGGACCUUGCGCGAUUGAAUGAGCCGAUGUCGGAUUAGCUAGUUGGCGGGGUAAAGGCCCACCAAGGCGACGAUCCGUGGCUGGUCUGAGAGGAUGAUCAGCCACACUGGAACUGAGACACGGUCCAGACUCCUACGGGAGGCAACAGUGGGGAAUAUUGGACAAUGGGCGCAAGCCUGAUCCAGCCAUACCGCGUGGGUGAAGAAGGCCUUCGGGUUGUAAAGCCCUUUUGUUGGGAAAGAAAAGCAGCAGGUUAAUACCCCGCUGUUCUGACGGUACCCAAAGAAUAAGCACCGGCUAACUUCGUG